rnacentral:rRNA from 1 species
AAUGAACGUUGGCGGCGUGGAUUAGGCAUGCAAGUCGUGCGGCAACAGGCCCCGCAAGGGGUGCUGGCGAGCGGCGAAAGGGAUAGUAAUGUGUGGAUACCUGCCCUGGGGACGGGGAUAGCUGCUGGAAACGGCAAUUAAUACCCGACGAUGUCUCCGGACCAAAGGUGUAAUUCCGCCCUAGGAGGGGUCCACAUCCUAUUAGCUAGUUGGUGAGGUAACGGCUCACCAAGGCCACGAUGGGUAGCGGGUGUGAGAGCACGACCCGCAUCACUGGGACUGAGACACUGCCCAGACACCUACGGGUGGCUGCAGUCGAGGAUCUUCGGCAAUGAGCGAAAGCUUGACCGAGCGACGCCGCGUGCGGGAUGAAGGCCUUCGGGUUGUAAACCGUUUUCGGAGGGGAGGAAAUCGAGAAGGGUUCACCCUUUUCGUUGACCUAUCCUAGGAAGAAGGACGGGCUAAGUUCGUGCCAGCAGCCGCCGUAAUAC